AGCUUCUGUGAAACAGCACAGCGGAGAGCAGAUAUUUCAAAACUCAGCAGAAGGCGCUCAGUUGAGUCCUAGUGUUAGCCCUCACAUGGACCGAUGGCAGACUCCACCACGCCGGCAGCGCUGAGACAGAUCAUUGGUGACAACUGUUGUACCGACUGUGAUGAGGCUGUCAUGUUUGGUUUCUGACAACAAAACCCACCAUGAAGGACACGGUAAAGCCUCUGUCCAACCACAGUAUUAAAGAACAACACCUUCCUCGCAUCGCGCGCCCCUUAGCUCUGCUUUCAGGGUGACAUGGAGUCAAUUGAAACACUAAACUGACUUUGUUCUAAACGUGUUACUUCAUUCUUUGCAUGUGGUUUGCCAAACUGUGUUGCAGCUCUGUGGCAUUGAGCAAGCCGGUUUUGUCGUGACGUUGAUAAGAAACAGAUUUAAGAAAUUGGAACAAAAAAAAAAAAAAAAAAACCCUCUUGCUGUGUUAAUGAGGCAGUUUUGGCAGAAUCGGUUCAGUUUUACUGUCCUCUGUGGGGAAAUAUAACUGAAUAUAGCUCUUUAUUUAUGAAAGAGACACAAAAUCCAGCCAUGAAACGUAUCUAUCGAUCGUUUUUACCUCUUUAAAGCUGUUUCACUUUCAGUAAAUGUCCCGAUAAGUCAUAUUUACAGACAGCUGUUUUAUGUUAGGCUACAAAAUUCACUGCAGGCUAUUGACAGUUUCAUAGGUCAUGUUUUCCCACACAGAAACCAAUUCCUCUGAAACUGAACUUCAGCAUGACCAAUCAAAAGCGGCGUUUGACAGCUGCAAGACUUUAGACCUUUGGAUAGCACCGUCUGACUGCUUGUAAAUAAUCUGUAGGCUUUUUCUCUGCUCAAUUCCCCAAACUUUCCAGUCAACAACAUUCUUCCAGUCCUAAUGUGUGUGGGGGGGAAAGAGAAAGAGAGCAUAGAUAUUCCUCUUAGGAAAUCCUGGAAGCUCUUCAAGAUCCUCUGGGUAUGGCCAAGAACCUCAGUCUGGGAACAGCUUGAAAAGGCUGCCUUUGCCCUUUCCGCUGCCGCAGCCCGUCUCAAUGCAGCUCAGCUCAAUUCAGGUUAUGCAGAACGUGUCAAGUCACAACCAAGGUUACGGCGCUGCGAAACCAGCAAGAAAAGCCAAACCAAACAAUUAUAUAUCAUCCACAUCAUUCAAAGAAAGCCAAACAGUAUUUAGUAUAUUUAAAAUACAGACUAAAGGUGAUUAACAGCUUAAAAUUUAAAGGUUUUGGUCCAAGUCUCCAUUCAGCAUUAAACUGGGAACACGAAGAGGAACUCCUCUGGUUAAGAAAAAAAUUGAGGGAGGACGGCUGUGAUGAGUCUGAGUUUGAGAGGGAUAAAGAGGGAAGAACACAAUAAAAAACACUGGAACAUCUACUAUUAAACCAAAGAAAAAUGCUCACAACUGUAGCAACUAGUGAAAAGGAGGGAGACAAACAUAAAGACAAAAAACUGAUGUAAGACAAAAAAUAAAUAAAUUAGUAAUUGUAGAAAUGGGGAAAACAAAACACAAAACAUUGGAACAGCUGGUAUAAUAUGAAAAGAAUAAUUCCUAUAAAAAUGCGAGAACAGGAUGAGAACAAAAACACUGGAACAGUUGUUAUAGAAAUGCUCAUAACUGCAGCAAUAAUUGAAAAGAAGAGACAAGCACAAAAACACUGGAAAAAAUGCUAUAAAUAAAAAUAAGUUAGUAACUGUAAACAUGGGAAAACAGGAUGAGGGCAACCUACAAUAAACACUGGAACAGCUCUGGGGCAAAAUGAUAAGUUAUGAACUUGUAAAAAUGAGUAAACAGAAAAGGACACAAACAGAAAAACACAAGGACAUGUCAUCAAAGACAAAAUGAGAUUACACAAAACCCCUGGAACAUCUACUAUAAGACAAAAGGAUAAGUUAGUAACUGCAAAUAUGUGAGAACCGGAUGAGGACAAACACAAAAGCACCAGAACAGCUCCUAAUAGAAAAAAAUAACUGUAAAAAUUAGACAACUGAAAAUAGAAAAAAAAAACCAUCAACAACAACAACAAUCAAAAAAAAAUUGGAACAUUUUCUAUUGAAUAAAAUAAUAUGUUAGUAACUGUAAAAUGUGAGAACAGGAUCAGGGCAAUAUAAGAACAGGAUGAGGACAAAUACACACACAACAAAAUACACAGGAACAGCUCCCAUAAGACAAAAUGAUAAGCUAGUAACUGUAAAAAUGAGAAAAAAAGAGAAGUGAACAAACACAAAAAACACAGGAAGAGGUCAGCCACGACAAAAUGAUAAAUUAGUACAAAACCACUGAAACAUCUUCUAUAAGACAAAAUGAUAAGUUAGUAACUUUAAAAAUGUGAGAACAGGAUGAGGACAAGCAAAAAAAACAAACAAACAAACACCAGAACAGCUCAUAAAAUUAGUAAGUAACUGUAGAAAUGUAAGAACAGGAUGUGGACAAAAACAAAAAAAA